GCCGAUGUAGCUCAGUUGGUAGAGCGCGUCCUUGGUAAGGACGAGGUCACCGGUUCAAGCCCGGUCAUCGGCUCCA
rnacentral:tRNA from 1 species